GACGAACGCUGGCGGCGUGCUUAACACAUGCAAGUCGAACGGAAAGGCCCUGCUUUUGUGGGGUGCUCGAGUGGCGAACGGGUGAGUAACACGUGAGUAACCUGCCCUUGACUUUGGGAUAACUUCAGGAAACUGGGGCUAAUACCGGAUAGGAGCUCCUGCUGCAUGGUGGGGGUUGGAAAGUUUCGGCGGUUGGGGAUGGACUCGCGGCUUAUCAGCUUGUUGGUGGGGUAGUGGCUUACCAAGGCUUUGACGGGUAGCCGGCCUGAGAGGGUGACCGGCCACAUUGGGACUGAGAUACGGCCCAGACUCCUACGGGUGGCAGCAGUGGGGAAUAUUGCACAAUGGGCGGAAGCCUGAUGCAGCAACGCCGCGUGCGGGAUGACGGCCUUCGGGUUGUAAACCGCUUUCGCCUGUGACGAAGCGUGAGUGACGGUAAUGGGUAAAGAAGCACCGGCUAACUACGUGCCAGCAGCCGCGGUGAUACGUAGGGUGCGAGCGUUGUCCGGAUUUAUUGGGCGUAAAGGGCUCGUAGGUGGUUGAUCGCGUCGGAAGUGUAAUCUUGGGGCUUAACCCUGAGCGUGCUUUCGAUACGGGUUGACUUGAGGAAGGUAGGGGAGAAUGGAAUUCCUGGUGGAGCGGUGGAAUGCGCAGAUAUCAGGAGGAACACCAGUGGCGAAGGCGGUUCUCUGGGCCUUUCCUGACGCUGAGGAGCGAAAGCGUGGGGAGCGAACAGGCUUAGAUACCCUGGUAGUCCACGCUGUAAACGGUGGGUACUAGGUGUGGGGUCCAUUCCACGGGUUCCGUGCCGUAGCUAACGCUUUAAGUACCCCGCCUGGGGAGUACGGCCGCAAGGCUAAAACUCAAAGGAAUUGACGGGGCCCCGCACAAGCGGCGGAGCAUGCGGAUUAAUUCGAUGCAACGCGUAGAACCUUACCUGGGUUUGACAUGGAUCGGGAGUGCUCAGAGAUGGGUGUGCCUCUUUUGGGGUCGGUUCACAGGUGGUGCAUGGCUGUCGUCAGCUCGUGUCGUGAGAUGUUGGGUUAAGUCCCGCAACGAGCGCAACCCUUGUUCACUGUUGCCAGCACGUUAUGGUGGGGACUCAGUGGAGACCGCCGGGGUCAACUCGGAGGAAGGUGGGGAUGACGUCAAGUCAUCAUGCCCCUUAUGUCCAGGGCUUCACGCAUGCUACAAUGGCUGGUACAGAGAGUGGCGAGCCUGUGAGGGUGAGCGAAUCUCGGAAAGCCGGUCUCAGUUCGGAUUGGGGUCUGCAACUCGACCUCAUGAAGUCGGAGUCGCUAGUAAUCGCAGAUCAGCAACGCUGCGGUGAAUACGUUCCCGGGGCU
rnacentral:rRNA from 1 species